UUUAAAGUGUAAUGUAAGUCGCUUUGGAUAAAAGCGUCUGCUAAAUGACGUGUA
rfam:Gasterosteus aculeatus cont1.002590, whole genome shotgun sequence.